rnacentral:siRNA from 1 species
AAGUAGAGAGUCGAAGUGACUUU